CAAAAUAUAUGGCAGGGGAACACCAUGAUCAGGAAGAUAGUUUUCCCAGGGCAAGGCUCAUCCAUUGCACUUGGUAUGUGCUGACCCCUGCGAUAUCCCCAAAUUUGGGAAACUCAACUGCAUAAUUUGUGUAGUGGGGGACUGUGUUUGUGCUCUCCCCUU
ensembl:snRNA U1 U1 spliceosomal RNA